rnacentral:tRNA from 1 species
GGAGGUGACUGGAGUCUGGUGGCUUCCCUGGUCUUCAAAACCAUGGACGCGUCGACAAGACGUGUGGUGGGUUCGAUUCCCAUCCACCUCCGCCA